AUGAGGUAAUUAAGUAGGAAAGAAAAGUCAAUCAUGGUAACAUGAUAGUAAUAAAGGCGACUCAUUUCCCAACUCCUCCCUGCCUAAACAAUGAUCGAAAAAACCAAGAUGAUUAUUUUAUUCAUGUGAUUUUUUUAAAAUAUAAAUUUGGGUUCCUUGUCCAUAUUUUAUAAAUAAUGUUUCAUUUUUCUGCUGUCCAGCUUCAUGUUUUACUAUUUGCAAAAUGUGACGCUUGCAUAGAUGGAUUUAAGGGCUUAUGAAAAGACCAUGAUCCCGGAUACUGCUGCUCUUUAUUCUUCACCACAAGUGCUGUAAGUCUCACAUUACUGAUUAUCUCUGGGUUCAAGCAUAGAUAAGUGAAGACAUAGUCUACUCUGCUCCAAACAUCAUUUGUUUAUUCUACUUAGUUAUUUUGAAGACUAGUUUGUAUUCUACCCUAUCACAUCUUAGUUUUAAACCUCAUUUUAUUUCAAUUGGAACCAUUUUGGAUAA